CUCCACAAAGAUUCAAGGUGCGUGCAGUGGAUUGAAUCAGUUGCCAGUUGGAACUUAUAAAGUUACAGUCAAGAAACAGCCUUCACUUCACACUGCAAAACCCUCUAGUGCUGCUGGUUCUACCAAAAUGGAUCCCACUGAGCACACCACCUCCAGUUGUGUCCCUGGAAGACAUGCCAUCAACUUCCGGGACUUCAUCUGCAAAUACCAUCGGAGAAGACUGGUUAACCAUCAAUGAACCCUCAGAGGCUAUAACCAGAAGUGCGGAGAGCUUUCUCCGCAGCAAUGCAAUGAAGUCCCCUUUGCUCCUU